CGACCUUGCCUCGUGGUGGGGGAUAGCCGGCCCAACGGCCGGGUAAUACCGCAUAGGGUAGUUUCUUCGCAUGGGGAGACUAGCAAAGCCGUGCAGCAGUGCACUGGCGCCACAGGGGGGCUCGCGGCCUAUCAGCUAGUUGGGGGGGUAAUGGCCCACCAAGGCGACGACGGGUAGCUGGUCUGAGAGGAUGGCCAGCCACAUUGGGACUGAGAGACGGCCCAG
rnacentral:rRNA from 1 species